AUGGGUUAGCUGGUGUGAGAGCACGACCAGCCACACGGGCACUGAGACACGGGCCCGACUCUUACGGGAGGCAGCAGUGAGGAAUAUUGGUCAAUGGACGCAAGUCUGAACCAGCCAUGCCGCGUGAAGGAUGAAGGCCUUCUGGGUUGUAAACUUCUUUUACCUGGGAAGAAACCUCAGUUUUCUAACUGAGUUGACGGUACCAGAGGAAUAAGCGCCGGCUAACUACGUGCCAGCAGCCGCGGUAACACGUAGGGCGCAAGCGUUGUCCGGAAUUAUUGGGCGUAAAGAGCUCGUAGGCGGUCUGUUGCGUCCGCUGUGAAAACUCGGGGCUUAACCCCGAGCCUGCAGUGGAUACGGGCAGACUAGAGGUAGGUAGGGGAGAAUGGAAUUCCCGGUGUAGCGGUGAAAUGCGCAGAUAUCGGGAGGAACACCGGUGGCGAAGGCGGUUCUCUGGGCCUUACCUGACGCUGAGGAGCGAAAGCGUGGGGAGCGAACAGGAUUAGAUACCCUGGUAGUCCACGCCGUAAACGUUGGGCGCUAGGUGUGGGAUCCUUCCACGGAUUCCGUGCCGCAGCUAACGCAUUAAGCGCCCCGCCUGGGGAGUACGGCCGCAAGGCUAAAACUCAAAGGAAUGGACG
rnacentral:rRNA from 1 species